UACAGAGGGGGCAAGCGUUGUUCGGAAUUACUGGGCGUAAAGGGCGCGUAGGCGGCCCGCUAAGUCGAACGUGAAAUCCCCGGGCUCAACCCGGGAACUGCGUCCGAUACUGGCAGGCUUGAAUCCGGGAGAGGGAUGUGGAAUUCCAGGUGUAGCGGUGAAAUGCGUAGAUAUCGUAAGGAAGACCAGUGGCGAAGGCGGCUCACUGGCCCGUAACUGACGCUGAGGUGCGAAAGCGUGGGGAGCAAACAGG
rnacentral:rRNA from 1 species